UUAAACAUUUCUUUGCAAACACUCUCUUUGGAAAUGUAUGAAAGAUAUUUUGGAGCCCUUGAGGCCUAUAGUGAUAAAUUGUAUAUCCUGUGAUUAAAAAGUAGAAUGAAAUGAAUUGUGAAAUGCUUUGCCAUGGGUGGAUUUGUCUCAUGGAGGUAAACCUUUCUUUCGAUUCAGUAGGUAGGAAACAUUCUUUUUGUAGAAUGUGCAAAGGGACAUUUUGGGAGCCCACUGAGGCCCAUAGUGAAAAACCUAAUAUCCCGUGAUAAAAACCAGAAAAAAGCUGUGUGUAAAAACGCUUUGCCAUGUGAGGAUACAUCUCAAAGAGUUAAACCUUUGCUCUGAUUCUGCAGGUUGGAAACACUCUCUUGGUAGAAUAUGAGAAGGGACAUUUGAGAGCCCAUGGAGCCCUGUAGGGAAAACUGAAUAUUUCCCCCUUGGCCAAAAAAAAACAAAAACAAAAACAAAAACAAAAACAAAAACAAAAAAACAAAAAACAGCAACAAAAAACCCUCAAAGCUAUUUGAGGACAUGCUUUGUGAUGUGUGGAUUCAUCUCGCAGAAGUAAACCUUAAUUUUGAUUCAGCAGGUUGGAAACACUCUUGUUGUAGAAUGUGUACAGGGAUAUUUGGAAGCUCUUAGAGGCACACAUGGAAAAACCGAGUAUCCCGCAAUAAAAACUAGAAAGAAUAUAUCUGUGAAAAUGCUUUGCCAUGUGUGGAUAAAUCAAAUCUAGAUAAACCUUUCUUUACAUUCAGCAUGUUGGAAACACUCUUCUUAUAGAAUCUGUGAACGGACAUUUUGGGGUCCAUUGAUGCCUAUACUGAAAAACUGACUAUUCUG
rnacentral:lncRNA from 1 species